GCUGUACACACGGAGAGUCUUUUUAAUAAAAUAUCGUUUCAGCUUGAAGAAGCAAUAGAAAGUUACAAUUAUGUAUUCAUCUCCAAAACGAAGCUGUUUUCUCAAAGUUAUGACCUGGAACCUUGGAGUAGAGAAGAGCAGAGUUAUAUGCAAUUACAUCACUUCAAGAAAAUGAGACAAAGCAUCUAUAAUUCCAUCCAGUAUCUAGUUCUCUCAAAAAAGGUGCCCUCAGGGAGAUAAAGAAAGCAGAAACGGUCGGAGAAGCAAAUUUGUAUUAAGGCACUUAAGGCAUCUUGCCACCACUGGGUCUGGGAGGCGCUGCUCAGUCUGCCGACAGUAUCUUCUGGAAUUACUGGUGUGGUGGAACUCAAGAAUUUUCUGCUUCACCUGAGCUUCCCAGUAGAAAUUCUUAGGUUGACGUCACACAGAUCACGACUCAUUUUUCCUGUUUGUAUAUUUGCUGCAAAAGAAUCGACACUCUCUCCUCUUAAGCUCCUUUACUAGGCUCUAGGUGAUGAUGAAGUUUUCCUUUAAGUUAAUAUCCUUAUUACUUAAAUAGGAGACACUUCAUGUUCUACUUCUGAAAGCAGUGGUAUUAGUUAAGUUUGGUUCUUGAGAUUAUGUUAUGAAAGUGAUGAAAUCACUAUAAUUUAUCAUUUUAAACAUACAAAUUAAUUUUUGCAACAGAAUAACUCUCUAACUGUAGUGUAAAAGGAAAAUAUUCAGAAUUCCUUUCUCAGAGGUUGUGUUUUCAAAUGGCCUAUACUUGAAUAUUUUAAAAAUCUAAGCUUUUAUGUGAAGCCCAUGUAACUCUAGUAACCGUGAAUUCCC
rnacentral:lncRNA from 1 species